AACGAACGCUGGCGGCAGGCUUAACACAUGCAAGUCGAGCGCCCCGCAAGGGGAGCGGCAGACGGGUGAGUAACACGUGGGAACAUACCCAUCUCUGCGGAACAACUCCGGGAAACUGGAGCUAAUACCGCAUACGCCCUUUGGGGGAAAGAUUUAUCGGAGAUGGAUUGGCCCGCGUUGGAUUAGCUAGUUGGUGGGGUAAAGGCCUACCAAGGCGACGAUCCAUAGCUGGUCUGAGAGGAUGAUCAGCCACAUUGGGACUGAGACACGGCCCAAACUCCAACGGGAGGCAGCAGUGGGGAAUAUUGGACAAUGGGCGCAAGCCUGAUCCAGCCAUGCCGCGUGAGUGAUGAAGGCCUUAGGGUUGUAAAGCUCUUUCACCGAUGAAGAUAAUGACGGUACCCGGAGAAGAAGCCCCGGCUAACUUCGUGCCAGCAGCCGCCGUAACAC
rnacentral:rRNA from 1 species